GACCUUGAACUUUCUUGAACAAAAUGGCGGCCAGGAAGCGAUUUUAUUAAUGAUAACCACAAUGUUUGGUGUUUUAUAAGCAAAAUAUGAUAUGUCAAGGGAUGCCUUAUCAGCCCGUGGAUACAUAAGCUGAGGACCACUGCCACCAGCUGUUCGUCACACCAUCACCACCACCCACAACAGAGAACUGGGCACAGAGUACACAGUCACAAAUGUAGUGUCUUUAGGCUAAGCCAGGAGAGACACCAUCACCACCACCCACAACAGAGAACUGGGCACAGAGUACACAGUCGCUAAUGUAGUGUCUGGAGGCUAAGCCAGGAGAGACACCAUCACCACCACCCACAACAGAGAACUGGGCACAGAGUACACAGUCGCUAAUGUAGUGUCUGGAGGCUAAGCCAGGAGAGACACCAUCACCACCACCCACAACAGAGAACUGGGCACAGAGUACACAGUCGCUGAUGUAGUGUCUGGAGGCUAAGCCAGGAGAGACACACAAACACACCCAGACACAUCGAUGUUCCGGUCUGCCUGGUGUCCACGGCCAUGCCAAGCCAGGGCAAUGGUUGGACUCGUCUGUUAGGGUCUUAGGGUCAGGGAACCAGGGCAAGGGUGGGGCUCCCCUGUUAUUGUCUUUGGGUUCGGGAGCAAGGGCAAGGGUGGGGCUCCCCUAUUAGGGUCUUAGGGUCAGGGAACCAGGGCAAGGGUGGGGCUCCCCUGUUAUUGUCUUUGGGUUCAGGAGCAAGGGCAAGGAUGGGGCUCCCCUAUUAGGGUCUUAGGGUCAGGGAACCAGGGCAAGGAUGGGGCUCCCCUGUAAGGGACUUAGGGUUAGGGAAUCAGGGCAAGGGUGGGGCUCCCCUGUGAGGGACUUAGGGUCAGGGAA